GAUGAACGCUGGCGGCGUGCCUAAUACAUGCAAGUCGAGCGAACAGACGAGGAGCUUGCUCCUCUGACGUUAGCGGCGGACGGGUGAGUAACACGUGGAUAACCUACCUAUAAGACUGGGAUAACUUCGGGAAACCGGCGCUAAUACCGGAUAAUAUAUUGAACCGCAUGGUUCAAUAGUGAAAGACGGUUUUGCUGUCACUUAUAGAUGGAUCCGCGCCGCAUUAGCUAGUUGGUAAGGUAACGGCUUAUCAAGGCGACGAUGCGUAGCCGACCUGAGAGGGUGGUCGGCCACACUGGAACUGAGCCAGGGUCCAGACGCCUACGGGAGGCAGCAGUAGGGAAUCUUCCGCAAUGGGCGAAAGCCUGACGGAGCAACGCCGCGUGAGUGAUGAAGGUCUUCGGAUCGUAAAACUCUGUUAUUAGGGAAGAACAAAUGUGUAAGUAACUAUGCACGUCUUGACGGUACCUAAUCAGAAAGCCACGGCUAACUACGUG
rnacentral:rRNA from 1 species